UAACCGAAUAGGGGAGCCGGAGGGAAACCGAGUCUUAACCGGGCGUUAAGUUGCAGGGUAUAGACCCGAAACCCGGUGAUCUAGCCAUGGGCAGGUUGAAGGUUGGGUAACACUAACUGGAGGACCGAACCGACUAAUGUUGAAAAAUUAGCGGAUGACCUGUGGCUGGGGGUGAAAGGCCAAUCAAACCGGGAGAUAGCUGGUUCUCCCCGAAAGCUAUUUAGGUAGCGCCUCGUGAAUUCAUCUCCGGGGGUAGAGCACUGUUUCGGCUAGGGGGCCAUCCCGGCUUACCAACCCGAUGCAAACUGCGAAUACCGGAGAAUGUUAUCACGGGAGACACACGGCGGGUGCUAACGUCCGUCGUGAAGAGGGAAACAACCCAGACCGCCAGCUAAGGUCCCAAAGUCAUGGUUAAGUGGGAAACGAUGUGGGAAGGCCCAGACAGCCAGGAUGUUGGCUUAGAAGCAGCCAUCAUUUAAAGAAAGCGUAAUAGCUCACUGGUCGAGUCGGCCUGCGCGGAAGAUGUAACGGGGCUAAACCAUGCACCGAAGCUGCGGCAGCGACACUGUGUGUUGUUGGGUAGGGGAGCGUUCUGUAAGCCUGUGAAGGUGUGUCGUGAGGCAUGCUGGAGGUAUCAGAAGUGCGAAUGCUGACAUAAGUAACGAUAAAGCGGGUGAAAAGCCCGCUCGCCGGAAGACCAAGGGUUCCUGUCCAACGUUAAUCGGGGCAGGGUGAGUCGACCCCUAAGGCGAGGCCGAAAGGCGUAGUCGAUGGGAAACGGGUUAAUAUUCCCGUACUUGGUGUUACUGCGAAGGGGGGACGGAGAAGGCUAUGUUGGCCGGGCGACGGUUGUCCCGGUUUAAGCGUGUAGGUGUGUGUUCCAGGUAAAUCCGGUUCACUUUAACACUGAGGCGUGACGACGAGGCACUACGGUGCUGAAGCAACAAAUGCCCUGCUUCCAGGAAAAGCCUCUAAGCAUCAGGUAACAUCAAAUCGUACCCCAAACCGACACAGGUGGUCAGGUAGAGAAUACCAAGGCGCUUGAGAGAACUCGGGUGAAGGAACUAGGCAAAAUGGUGCCGUAACUUCGGGAGAAGGCACGCUGACACGUAGGUGAAGUGAUUUACUCAUGGAGCUGAAGUCAGUCGAAGAUACCAGCUGGCUGCAACUGUUUAUUAAAAACACAGCACUGUGCAAACACGAAAGUGGACGUAUACGGUGUGACGCCUGCCCGGUGCCGGAAGGUUAAUUGAUGGGGUCAGCGCAAGCGAAGCUCCUGAUCGAAGCCCCGGUAAACGGCGGCCGUAACUAUAACGGUCCUAAGGUAGCGAAAUUCCUUGUCGGGUAAGUUCCGACCUGCACGAAUGGCGUAAUGAUGGCCAGGCUGUCUCCACCCGAGACUCAGUGAAAUUGAACUCGCUGUGAAGAUGCAGUGUACCCGCGGCAAGACGGAAAGACCCCGUGAACCUUUACUAUAGCUUGACACUGAACAUUGAGCCUUGAUGUGUAGGAUAGGUGGGAGGCUUUGAAGUGUGGACGCCAGUCUGCAUGGAGCCGACCUUGAAAUACCACCCUUUAAUGUUUGAUGUUCUAACGUGGACCCGUUACCCGGGUUGCGGACAGUGUCUGGUGGGUAGUUUGACUGGGGCGGUCUCCUCCUAAAGAGUAACGGAGGAGCACGAAGGUUGGCUAAUCCUGGUCGGACAUCAGGAGGUUAGUGCAAUGGCAUAAGCCAGCUUGACUGCGAGCGUGACGGCGCGAGCAGGUGCGAAAGCAGGUCAUAGUGAUCCGGUGGUUCUGAAUGGAAGGGCCAUCGCUCAACGGAUAAAAGGUACUCCGGGGAUAACAGGCUGAUACCGCCCAAGAGUUCAUAUCGACGGCGGUGUUUGGCACCUCGAUGUCGGCUCAUCACAUCCUGGGGCUGAAGUAGGUCCCAAGGGUAUGGCUGUUCGCCAUUUAAAGUGGUACGCGAGCUGGGUUUAGAACGUCGUGAGACAGUUCGGUCCCUAUCUGCCGUGGGCGCUGGAGAACUGAGGGGGGCUGCUCCUAGUACGAGAGGACCGGAGUGGACGCAUCACUGGUGUUCGGGUUGUCAUGCCAAUGGCACUGCCCGGUAGCUAAAUGCGGAAGAGAUAAGUGCUGAAAGCAUCUAAGCACGAAACUUGCCCCGA
rnacentral:rRNA from 1 species